CCGACCUUAGCUCAGUUGGAAGAGCGCGAGACUGUAAUGGAUAUCAUCACUUCCGAGAGAUCGGAAUCUUGAGGUCGCUUGUUCGAGGCAAGCAGGUCGGA